rnacentral:rRNA from 1 species
AUUGAACGCUGGCGGAAUGCUUUACACAUGCAAGUCGAACGGUAGAGGGGGCAACCCCUCGAGAGUGGCGAACGGGUGAGUAAUAUAUCGGAACGUGCCCAGUCGUGGGGGAAACGUAGCGAAAGUUACGCUAAUACCGCAUACGAUCUAAGGAUGAAAGCGGGGGAUCGCAAGAGCCUCGCGCGAUUGGAGCGGCCGAUAUCAGAUUAGGUAGUUGGUGGGGAUUGAACGCUGGCGGAAUGCUUUACACAUGCAAGUCGAACGGUAGAGGGGGCAACCCCUCGAGAGUGGCGAACGGGUGAGUAAUAUAUCGGAACGUGCCCAGUCGUGGGGGAAACGUAGCGAAAGUUACGCUAAUACCGCAUACGAUCUAAGGAUGAAAGCGGGGGAUCGCAAGAGCCUCGCGCGAUUGGAGCGGCCGAUAUCAGAUUAGGUAGUUGGUGGGGUAAAGGCUCACCAAGCCAACGAUCUGUAGCUGGUCUGAGAGGACGACCAGCCACACUGGAACUGAGACACGGUCCAGACUCCUACGGGAGGCAGCAGUGGGGAAUUUUGGACAAUGGACGCAAGUCUGAUCCAGCCAUUCCGCGUGCAGGAUGAAGGCCCUCGGGUUGUAAACUGCUUUUGUACGGAACGAAAAGGUUUCUAUUAAUACUAGGAGCUCAUGACGGUACCGUAAGAAUAAGCACCGGCUAACUACGUGCCAGCAGCCGCGGUAAUACGUAGGGUGCAAGCGUUAAUCGGAAUUACUGGGCGUAAAGCGUGCGCAGGCGGUUAUGUAAGACAGAGGUGAAUCCCCGGGCUCAACCUGGGAACUGCCUUUGUGAUGCUAGCUAGAGUACGGUAGAGGGGGAUGGAAUUCCGCGUGUAGCAGUGAAAUGCGUAGAUAUGCGGAGGAACACCGAUGGCGAAGGCAUCCCCUGGACCUGUACUGACGCUCAUGCACGAAAGCGUGGGGAGCAAACAGGAUUAGAUACCCUGGUAGUCCACGCCCUAAACGAUGUCAACUGGUUGUUGGGUCUUCACUGACUCAGUAACGAAGCUAACGCGUGAAGUUGACCGCCUGGGGAGUACGGCCGCAAGGUUG